rnacentral:rRNA from 1 species
CCUACGGGAGGCAGCAGUAGGGAAUCUUCCACAAUGGACGAAAGUCUGAUGCAGCAACGCCGCGUGAGUGAAGAAGGGCUUCGGCUUGUACAGCACUGUUGGUCGGGAAGAAAGAUAGAGGUAUUAUCUGCCCAUUAUUUGACGGUAACUACUUAGAAAGUCACGGCUAACUCCGUGCCAGCAGCCGCGGUAAUACGUAGGUGGCAAGCGUUAUUCGGAGUUAUUGGGCGUAAAGCGAGUGCAGGCGGUUCAAUAAGUCUGAUGUGAAAGCCUUCGGCUUAACCGGGGAAUUGCAUCUGAUACUGGUGAGCUAGAGUGCAGAAGAGGGGAGUAGAACUCCAUGUGUAGCGGUGAAAUGCGUAGAUAUAUGGAAGAACACCAGUGGCGAAGGCGGCUCUCUGGUCAGCAACUGACGCUGAGGCGCGAAAGCAUGGGUAGCGAACAGGAUUAGAUACCCGAGUAGUC